rnacentral:rRNA from 1 species
AAUCGCCCCUGUGCCAAAGCAGCCGCGGUAAUUCCAGCUCCAGUAGCGUAUAUUAAAGUUGUUGCGGUAAAAAAGCUCGUAGUUGGAUUUCUGUUGAGGACGACCGGUCCAUACCAUGUAUGUGCAUCUGGUUCGGCCUCGGCAUCCUCUCGAAGGCCGUUUCUGCGCUUCAUUGCGUGGGACGGAGUUCGGGACUUUUACUUUGAGGAAAUUAGAGUGUUCACGGCAGGCAAUCGCCAGAAUACAUUAGCAUGGAAUAAUAGUAUAGGAUCUCGGUUCUAUUUUGUUGGUUUCUAGAACAGGGAUAAUGAUUAAUAGGGACAAUUGGGGGCAUUCGUAUCAACACGUCAGAGGUGAAAUUCUUGGAUUGUGUUGCGACGAACUACUGCGAAAGCAUUUGCCAAGGAUGUUUUCAUUGAUCAAGAACGAAAGUAAGGGGAUCGAAGAUGAUUAGAUACCGUCGUAGUCUUCACCACAAACUAUGCCGACUAGAGAUGGGGCACCGUUCAUUUACGACUUGCUCCGCACCUUAUGAGAUAUCAAAGUUUUUGGGUUCCGGGGGGAGUAUGGUCGCAAGACUGGAACUUAAAGGAAUUGACGGAAGGGCACCACCAGGAGUGGAGCCUGCGGCUUAAUUUGACUCAACACGGGGAAACUCACCAGGUCCAGACAUAAUAAGGAUUGACAGAUUGACAGCUCUUUCUUGAUUUUAUGGGUGGUGGUGCAUGGCCGUUCUUAGUUCGUGGAGUGAUUUGUCUGCUUAAUUGCGUUAACGAACGAGACCUUAACCUGCUAAAUAGGAGCGUGUAUCUUCGGAUAAGCGUUUUUCUUCUUAGAGGGACUUUGUGCGCUUUAGCAUGAGGAAGUUUGAGGCUAAAACAGGUCUGUGA